UACGUAGGGCGCAAGCGUUGUCCGGAAUUAUUGGGCGUAAAGAGCUCGUAGGCGGCUUGUCACGUCGGGUGUGAAAACUCGGGGCUCAACCCCGAGCCUGCACUCGAUACGGGCUAGCUAGAGUGUUGCAGGGGAGACUGGAAUUCCUGGUGUAGCGGUGAAAUGCGCAGAUAUCAGGAGGAACACCGGUGGCGAAGGCGGGUCUCUGGGCAACUACUGACGCUGAGGAGCGAAAGCGUGGGGAGCGAACAGG
rnacentral:rRNA from 1 species